GAGCUUCCAGGGGCGCCAUACUGGCCUGUCCCUCAGUUGGUAGAACGUGACAGGACUUCCCGUGACUUGUCCUUGUACAGAACAGACCUCUCUCUCUCCUUGCCUUCCAGGAGCCUGUCCUCCUCUGAAUUUUCCUCAGCGCUCAAGGAGAUUCUGGCAAUUGGUCUAUAUUCUCAGCAUUCAAACGGGAUUGCUCUUGAAGAAUCCACCAUUACUGUUACAAGAGACAUGAGCAAAUGCUGAAAAGACGAGGUUUAAGUGUCCAAGAAUGGUAAGAGGCUCGGACUGGGUUUACUUUACAUUCGCGGGGAAAACUAUGUUUUUCUAGAGAACAUUAUCUGAGAUGCUAAGUAGCUACAGUAAGGGCAGCCUGGACAAGAAGCCCAUGCUGUUACAUCUCCGGCAGUAGCAACCAUCACAGCACGGCUUUAGGGGAGCCGCUCUUUAUCGCCGAUAGCCCAUGGUUGACAAUGGUAGGCCACAAAGACACUCAGGAACUUACGAAUGAAUAUUCUGCCAACAGAAGGACAUAAUAAACACAAGGUCCCCAAAUCUGACCCAGGCAGAAGAUGAGAACCGUGUAAUAAAACAAUAAAGGUUUGAGACUAUUUUUAAGACUUCAAUAGCUAAUCCAUGCUAGUGUUAACCAAACCACACUUCAUCAGUCUUUAGAACUGUGUAGCAGAUGUUAACGGGGCUCACACAAAAUAUUUCAGGUAGAAACAUGCUAGAAGCGUUACAACAUGAGGAGAGCAAUAAAAUACGUCACUGAGAUAUAAUACUUGACACGGUGAGUCUGCCAUACACUAAGGUUAACAUGCAGUCGCUUUCAACAUUGCUAAGAGAGUAAAUUUUAGAGCUUUCAGCACAAGAAAAAUGACUGUGUAAUGAAUGUAUAGUGAUAGAUAUCAGGUAUUAGACUUUUGUUAUCAUUUCUCUAUAUAUACAUAUAUAUAAAU
rnacentral:lncRNA from 1 species